rnacentral:rRNA from 1 species
AGUGAACGCUGGCGGUAGGCCUAACACAUGCAAGUCGAACGGCAGCACAGGAGAGCUUGCUCUCUGGGUGGCGAGUGGCGGACGGGUGAGGAAUACAUCGGAAUCUACUCUGUCGUGGGGGAUAACGUAGGGAAACUUACGCUAAUACCGCAUACGACCUACGGGUGAAAGGAGGGGACCUUCGGGCCUUGCGCGAUUGAAUGAGCCGAUGUCGGAUUGGCUAGUUGGCGGGGUAAAGGCCCACCAAGGCGACGAGCCGUAGCUGGUCUGAGAGGAUGAUCAGCCACACUGGAACUGAGACACGGUCCAGACUCCUACGGGAGGCAGCAGUGGGGAAUAUUGGACAAUGGGCGCAAGCCUGAUCCAGCCAUACCGCGUGGGCGAAGAAGGCCUUCGGGUUGUAAAGCCCUUUUGUUGGGAAAGAAAUCCAGCUGGCUAAUACCCGGUUGGGAUGACGGUACCCAAAGAAUAAGCACCGGCUAACUUCGUGCCAGCCGCCGCCGUAA